ensembl:lncRNA
GCUUUCCUUCCCAUCUGACAUGCACUCCACAAGACUGUAAAACGCAGCUCUAGAGCUCAAAGCGUGGCAGCCUGGGCCAACAUCCCCAAGAUUUGUUGUAGUGCAAUGGGGUGUCUUCUCUAGGUGCGAAGGGGAGGAGGCCAUGCAGUAGGGUUUUUGGCUCUCCCAAUCUCAAGCUUUGGAUGAAAAGCUACUGACAGAAGUAUGAAGAUGGAACAAGCAACAAUUAUGGGAAGGCCCUACCAUGGCUAGUGGGAAGGUGCUGGUAGUGGGAGCUACAGAUAGCAAUAAGCAAUAACCAAUACUGCACAAAACAAAGGAAGAAAGUCCUAACAUUUGCCAUCAAGAUCUGAUCUCUGCAAAUCAGCAGAAGGUACCUGGUUUUCCAAGUUGUUUGUAAGCCUGUUCAUUGUUAGCAUGACCCGUGGUACCGUAAGUGCCUGUCACAGAUCAGAACAGCAAUUACACUGAUGACUGUACAAGCACCAAAUAGAAAGAGGAUCGAGGGCUCCAAACACAUGAAGGUCACAAAGGCACUAGCAUCCUUCUGUCCUAAGGAAAUUAACCCUCCAAACACUGCUUUCUAUCACAUUGUUUUUUGCUGUUCUUGUUAAAAUUUUUUUCAGUGUAAAGUGACAAAUGCUCUCAAAUUAUUCGUUUGGCUUAAGAGAAGCAAUCAGGAGAUAGAGAUACUUUUGUAAUUCUUAACAGAUACCUGUGUUUUACCUAGGGAAAUCAGUUAGUGUCAUUCUUCCACAUCCUUUCAGAAGUGGUGUAAUAUUUGACUCUCAUUUUCCAGGUAGCGAACUGUGGCACAGAGAUGUGAUGUCCCAGCUCCUUCAGGGAACUGGUUUCAAUGAAAGCAUGAAUUUCAAUGAUUUUCCAGGGCUGUGGGAAGUAACAAACUACAGCUUCCCAAAUUCUCAGUUAAUAAUGUCCUACCCAAGAUAGUCUGCUUCCUUUACCCACUGGCAUUUUUUCAACAGAAAAAGAAAGAAAAUAGUAAUGAAUUAAGCUGCCACAGCUCAGUCCAGGAAGAAAGAUUUUCCAUCAGAUAAAAGGAAUGUCUUUAGUCUCUUUGUCGGGGCCUGCCAACUGAUCUACAAUUGGAAGAAAAAUUUUUCAUGUACCAAACUAUUUUCUCACUAAUCUUAUUUUAAGGAAAGUAACAUAAUGAGGAUUUAUUUGGGGCUCUUGUUUUGUUUUUCUUAAAGCCAGACAGAAAAGGAAAUCUGGUAUUUGCUUUAUUUCUACUUUAGUGCUUUAUCUGACAGCUUGACAUGAGAGCAGACAUGAGAGUAUAGCUCAUUCAUCUAAGAUCCUAUAGGAUCAAAAAGCAGUGUUAUUUUCCAAAUUAUUGCAGUCUUAUUGACUAGUAUUUUUAUGUAUUUCUAAAGGAUUUUUAUAUUUGACUUAUUUUGUUGUUUUCCAAGUUGUUUAAUAAAACUUUGAAAAGUGAAUCCUC